rnacentral:rRNA from 1 species
GAAGCCUUGCUUCUCUUGAGAGCUGGCGGACCGGGUGAGUAAUGCCUAGGAAUCUGCCUGGUAGUGGGGGAUAACGCUCGGAAACGGACGCUAAUACCGCAUACGUCCUACGGGAGAAAGCAGGGGACCUUCGGGCCUUGCGCUAUCAGAUGAGCCUAGGUCGGAUUAGCUAGUUGGUGUGGUAAUGGCUCACCAAGGCGACGAUCCGUAACUGGUCUGAGAGGAUGAUCAGUCACACUGGAACUGAGACACGGUCCAGACUCCUACGGGAGGCAGCAGUGGGGAAUAUUGGACAAUGGGCGAAAGCCUGAUCCAGCCAUGCCGCGUGUGUGAAGAAGGUCUUCGGAUUGUAAAGCACUUUAAGUUGGGAGGAAGGGCAGUAACCUAAUACGUUGCUGUCUUGACGUUACCGACAGAAUAAGCACCGGCUAACUCUGUGCCAGCAGCCGCGGUAAUACAGAGGGUGCAAGCGUUAAUCGGAAUUACUGGGCGUAAAGCGCGCGUAGGUGGUUUGUUAAGUUGGAUGUGAAAUCCCCGGGCUCAACCUGGGAACUGCAUUCAAAACUGACAAGCUAGAGUAUGGUAGAGGGUGGUGGAAUUUCCUGUGUAGCGGUGAAAUGCGUAGAUAUAGGAAGGAACACCAGUGGCGAAGGCGACCACCUGGACUGAUACUGACACUGAGGUGCGAAAGCGUGGGGAGCAAACAGGAUUAGAUACCCUGGUAGUCCACGCCGUAAACGAUGUCAACUAGCCGUUGGGAGCCUUGAGCUCUUAGUGGCGCAGCUAACGCACUAAGUGACCGCCCGGGGGUUCCCC